GUGUUCCCUUCAGCAGUGCAGUACUAAAAUUGGAAUGAUACAGAGAAGAUCAGCAUGGCUCCUGCACAAGAAGGACAUGCGAAUUCAUGAAGUGGUACACACACAC
ensembl:snRNA Gm24593 U6 spliceosomal RNA